UCACGCCUCAAUUUUGGAUUCAUCCCAAUGGAGAGCACGAGGUCGCAACCACCACCAACAACGACCAUGGCUAAGAAGGUCACUGCAAAGCGCCAGAGAAAGACCUUUUCCUAGGGAGAAGCAAUCGAUGACGGAGAAGGCAUUUUCUGGCGGAGAAGUAAUUGAUGACGACCAUGGCUCGUCUUGGCAUCACGAAUGGCCGCGGAGAAGGCGUUCUCCGGUCCAUGGAGAAGCAAUUGGAGAAUCGAUGCCGGCGGAUUCGCAAAGCUUAAAGGCUCUUCCUGUCAUUUCGGUGACUCGGCCUAAUAGAUCUUCGUCUCCUGCAGUAAUUCAGAACCUAUGUUAAUUAUUGUGCUGUUUUUUAGGUUAUGCGAUUGAAUUACUUGGAAACGGGUUUUUCUUGAGAUUUGUUUGUUUAAUUUCAUAACCAUGCCAGUUUCUUGUCCGUGGAGCUACCCAGAGAGAAUAGCAGUUGUGGGGGACCUUAGCUUGACUUACAACACAACUACCACAAUUGGUCACUUGACUAGUAACGAUCCUGAUCUUGUUCUAUUGAUUGGUGAUGUUACUUAUGCAAACCUAUACCUCACAAAUGGAAUUGGUUUUGACUGCUAUUCUUGCUUAUUUCCACACUCUCCGAUACACGAGACCUAUCAGCCUCGAUGGGAUUACAGGGGAAGGGUAAUUUGUGUAGGUUUAUGGAUAAUUUAAUUUCUAAAGUUCCAAUAAUGGUGAUAGAAGGGAACCGUGAAAUAGAAGAACAGGUUGAAAAUAAGACAUUUGUGGCUUAUAGUUCUCGGGGGGGAUUUACUUUAUUAUGCUUGGAGCCUACAUUGACUUUACAAGAUCGGGGAAACAAUACAAGUGGCUGGAGCAAGAUUUGGCUAAUGUGGACAGAUCCACAACUUCAUGGCUGGUAGCUACUUGGCAUCCACCCUAGUAUAGUACUUUUGAGGCCCAUUACAGAGAGGCAGAAUGUAUGAGGUUGGAAAUGGAAGAGUUUCUCUACUCUUAUGGAGUUGAUAUAGUGUUCAAUGGACAUGUAAGUAAUGAUAACCGAUGAUUAGGAUAGUCUCUGAUAUUAGGUAAUAUGUUUCUUUCUAAUAGUCAGAAACUAUAUGAAGAAGUGGAAAUGAGCCCUUUGAUUAGGGUUUUCUUGUAUGCCAGAGAGUGAUAGAGACAACUGCAUUUUAAUUUUUUUAAUUUUGAGGAAACAAAGUAUAACGUGAAGUCAAUUGAUAUUGGAUUCCAGU